GAUGAACGCUGGCGGCGUGCCUAAUACAUGCAAGUCGAGCGAACAGACGAGGAGCUUGCUCCUCUGACGUUAGCGGCGGACGGGUGAGUAACACGUGGAUAACCUACCUAUAAGACUGGGAUAACUUCGGGAAACCGGAGCUAAUACCGGAUAAUAUAUUGAACCGCAUGGUUCAAUAGUGAAAGACGGUUUUGCUGUCACUUAUAGAUGGAUCCGCGCCGCAUUAGCUAGUUGGUAAGGUAACGGCUUACCAAGGCGACGAUGCGUAGCCGACCUGAGAGGGUGAUCGGCCACACUGGAACUGAGACACGGUCCAGACUCCUACGGGAGGCAGCAGUGGGGAAUCUUCCGCAAAGGGCGAAAGCCUGACGGAGCAACGCCGCGUGAGUGAUGAAGGUCUUCGGAUCGUAAAACUCUGUUAUUAGGGAAGAACAAAUGUGUAAGUAACUAUGCACGUCUUGACGGUACCUAAUCAGAAAGCCACGGCUAACUACGUG
rnacentral:rRNA from 1 species